AGAGUUUGAUCAUGGCUCAGGACAAACGCUGGCGGCAUGCCUAACACAUGCAAGUCGAACGGACGGAGGCAAGGAAUUCUUCGGAAGGAAUUGCCCGAGUUAGUGGCGGAUGGGUGAGUAACGCGUGGGGAACCUACCUUUUAGAGGGGAAUAAUCAUUGGAAACGAUGACUAAUACCGCGUAAUAUACAAAGACCGCAUGGUUUUUGUAAGAAAGGCGGCCUUAGAGCUGUCGCUAAAAGAUGGACCCGCGUCUGAUUAGCUAGUUGGUAAGGUAACGGCUUACCAAGGCAACGAUCAGUAGCCGGCCUGAGAGGGUGAACGGCCACAUUGGGACUGAGACACGGCCCAAACUCCUACGGGAGGCAGCAGUGGGGAAUCUUCCGCAAUGGGCGAAAGCCUGACGGAGCAAUGCCGCGUGAGUGAAGAAGGCCUUCGGGUUGUAAAGCUCUAUCGUAAUCGAAGAGAGCUUGUGAUAGUAACUGAUCAUGAGAGGACGGUAGAUUACAAGGAAGCCCCGGCUAACUAUGUGCCAGCAGCCGCGGUAAAACAUAGGGGGCAAGCGUUGUCCGGAAUCACUGGGCGUAAAGGGCGCGUAGGUGGUUUGUUAAGUCAGAUGUGAAAUGUAGGGGCUCAACCCCUAACGUGCAUCUGAUACUGGCAGACUUGAGUGCGGAAGAGGCAAGUGGAAUUCCUAGUGUAGCGGUGAAAUGCGUAGAUAUUAGGAGGAACACCAGUGGCGAAGGCGGCUUUCUGGACUGUAACUGACGCUGAGGCUCGAAAGCGUGGGGAGCGAACAGGAUUAGAUACCCUGGUAGUCCACGCCGUAAACGAUGAAUGCUAGGUGUAGGAGGUAUCGACCCCUUCUGUGCCGGAGUUAACGCAAUAAGCAUUCCGCCUGGGGAGUACGGCCGCAAGGCUGAAACUCAAAGGAAUUGACGGGGGCCCGCACAAGCGGUGGAGUAUGUGGUUUAAUUCGACGCAACGCGAAGAACCUUACCAGGGCUUGACAUUGAGUGAAAGGACAAGAGAUUGUCCCCUCUCUUCGGAGACACGAAAACAGGUGGUGCAUGGCUGUCGUCAGCACGUGUCGUGAGAUGUUGGGUUAAGUCCCGCAACGAGCGCAACCCCUAUUCUUUGUUGCCAGCACGUUAUGGUGGGAACUCAAAGGAGACUGCCGCGGACAACGCGGAGGAAGGCGGGGAUGACGUCAAGUCAUCAUGCCCCUUAUGUCCUGGGCUACACACGUACUACAAUGGGAUGGACAGAGAGUAGCGAAGCCGCGAGGCCAAGCGAACCCCAUAAACCAUCUCCCAGUUCGGAUUGCAGGCUGCAACCCGCCUGCAUGAAGUUGGAAUCGCUAGUAAUCGCAGGUCAGCAUACUGCGGUGAAUACGUUCCCGGGCCUUGUACACACCGCCCGUCACACCACGGAAGUCAUUCACACCCGAAGCCGGCAGGCUAACCUUUAUGGAGGCAGCCGUCUAAGGUGGGGCGAUGACUGGGGUGAAGUCGUAACAAGGUA
rnacentral:rRNA from 1 species